rnacentral:rRNA from 1 species
CCUACGGGUGGCAGCAGUGAGGAAUAUUGGUCAAUGGACGAAAGUCUGAACCAGCCAAGUAGCGUGAAGGAUGACUGCCCUAUGGAUUGUAAACUUCUUUUAUAUGGGAAUAAAAUGUUCCACGUGUGGGAUUUUGUAUGUACCCUAUGAAUACGGAUCGGCUAACUCCGUGCCAGCAGCCGCGGUAAUACGGAGGAUCCGAGCGUUGUCCGGAUUUAUUGGGUUUAAAGGGAGCGUAGGUGGAUUGUUAAGUCAGUUGUGAAAGUUUGCGGCUCAACCGUAAAAUUGCAGUUGAAACUGGGAGUCUUGAGUACAGGAGAGGUGGGCGGAAUUCGUGGUGUAGCGGUGAAAUGCUUAGAUAUCACGAAGAACUCUGAUUGCGAAGGCAGUUCACUGGACUGCAACUGACACUGAGGCACGAAGGUGUGGGUAUCAAAAAGGAUUAGAUACCCGAGUAGUC